AAUGGACCUGUGUAAGGAGGUGUGUGUGGGAGAAGAUUCCAGAAGGUCUUGAGACACUCCAGAUGAAGGUUGGUGUGUGGCUGUGCUGCUGGAGCACCAGAGUGGAAAGAGGCAAG
rfam:Callithrix jacchus chromosome 10, whole genome shotgun sequence